rnacentral:rRNA from 1 species
UACGUAGGGUGCGAGCGUUUGUCCGGAAUUACUGGGCGUAAAGAGCUCGUAGGCGGUUUGUCGCGUCGUCCGUGAAAACUUGGGGCUCAACCCCAAGCUUGCGGGCGAUACGGGCAGACUUGAGUACUGCAGGGGAGACUGGAAUUCCUGGUGUAGCGGUGAAAUGCGCAGAUAUCAGGAGGAACACCGGUGGCGAAGGCGGGUCUCUGGGCAGUAACUGACGCUGAGGAGCGAAAGCGUGGGUAGCAAACAGG